CAGUAGCCACGGGAAAACGUAGGGCGCAAGCGUUAUCCGGAAUUAUUGGGCGUAAAGAGCUCGUAGGCGGUUUGUCGCGUCUGCCGUGAAAGUCCGGGGCUCAACCCCGGAUCUGCGGUGGGUACGGGCAGACUAGAGUGAUGUAGGGGAGACUGGAAUUCCUGGUGUAGCGGUGAAAUGCGCAGAUAUCAGGAGGAACACCGAUGGCGAAGGCAGGUCUCUGGGCAUUAACUGACGCUGAGGAGCGAAAGCAUGGGGAGCGAACAGGAUUAGAUACCCCCGUAGUCCCUGUCUCUUAUAC
rnacentral:rRNA from 1 species